rnacentral:rRNA from 1 species
UACAGAGGUCUCAAGCGUUGUUCGGAUUCAUUGGGCGUAAAGGGUGUGUAGGUGGCGCCGUAAGUCAGGUGUGAAAUCUCGGGGCUUAACUCCGAAACUGCAUUUGAUACUGCGGUGCUUGAGGACUGGAGAGGAGACUGGAAUUCAUGGUGUAGCAGUGAAAUGCGUAGAGAUCAUGAGGAAGACCAGUGGCGAAAGGCGGGGUCUCUGGACAGCUCCUGACACUGAGACACGAAGGCCAGGGGAGCAAACGGG